GUGCCAGCCGCCGCGGUAAUACGUAGGGGGCGAGCGUUGUCCGGAAUUAUUGGGCGUAAAGGGCACGCAGGCGGUCUGCCAAGUUCGGGGUGAAAGUCACCAGCUUAACUGGUGAAGGACUUCGAAAACUGGUGGGCUUGAGAGCGAGAGAGGGACAUGGAACUCCGGGUGGAGCAGUGAAAUGCGUAGAUAUCCGGAAGAACACCAAAGGCGAAGGCAGGGUCCUGGCUCGUUUCUGACGCUGAGGUGCGAAAGCUAGGGGAGCGAACGGGAUUAGAUACCCCAGUAGUCC
rnacentral:rRNA from 1 species